rnacentral:rRNA from 1 species
CGUACACUCCUACGGGAGGCAGCAGUGGGGAAUUUUACGCAAUGGGGGAAACCCUGACGUAGCGACACCGCGUGAGCGAAGAAGCCCUUUGGGGUGUAAAGCUCUGUCAGCUGGAACGAAAACAAUGACGGUACCAGCAGAGGAAGCAUCGGCUAACUACGUGCCAGCAGCCGCGGUAAGACGUAGGAUGCGAGCGUUGUCCGGAUUUAUUGGGCGUAAAGAGCUCGUAGGUGGUUUGUUAAGUUUGGUGUUAAAGAUCGGGGCUCAACCCUGGGACUGCACUGAAUACUGGCAGACUCGAGUGUGGUAGAGGCUAGUGGAAUUCCCAGUGUAGCGGUGAAAUGCGUAGAUAUUGGGAAGAACACCGGUGGCGUAGGCGACUAGCUGGGCCAUAACUGACGCUGAGGAACGAAAGCCAGGGGAGCGAAUGGGAUUAGAAACCCGUGUAGUCCCAUGAU